UACGUAGGCAGCAAGCGUUGUUCGGAGUUACUGGGCGUAAAGGGUGUGUAGGCGGUCCUCUAAGUCUGGUGUGAAAUCUCCCGGCUCAACUGGGAGGGUGCGCCGGAAACUGGAGGGCUAGAGUACUGGAUGGGAGAGUGGAAUUCCUGGUGUAGCGGUGAAAUGCGUAGAUAUCAGGAGGAACACCAAUGGCGAAGGCAGCUCGCUGGGACGGUACUGACGCUGAGGCGCGAAAGCGUGGGGAGCAAACAGG
rnacentral:rRNA from 1 species